rnacentral:rRNA from 1 species
GGUGAACGCUGGCGGCGUGCUUAACACAUGCAAGUCGAACGGUAAGGCCCUUCGGGGUACACGAGUGGCGAACGGGUGAGUAACACGUGGGUGAUCUGCCCUGCACUUCGGGAUAAGUCUGGGAAACUGGUCUAAUACCGAAUAGGACCACUGCCUGCAUGGGUGGUGGUGGAAAGCUUUUGCGGUGUGGGAUGGGCCCGCGGCCUAUCAGCUUGUUGGUGGGGUGAUGGCCUACCAAGGCGACGACGGGUAGCCGGCCUGAGAGGGUGACCGGCCGCACUGGGACUGAGAUACGGCCCAGACUCCUACGGGAGGCAGCAGUGGGGAAUAUUACACAAUGGGCGCAAGCCUGAUGCAGCGACGCCGCGUGAGGGAUGACGGCCUUCGGGUUGUAAACCUCUUUCAGCACCGACGAAGCGCAAGUGACGGUAGGUGCAGAAGAAGGACCGGCCAACUACGUGCCAGCCGCCGCCGUAACAC